CCUACGGGAGGCAGCAGUGAGGAAUAUUGGUCAAUGGUCGCAAGACUGAACCAGCCAUGCCGCGUGCAGGAGGACGGCCCUCUGAGUUGUAAACUGCUUUUGUACGGGAGCAAAUGCCGAUACGCGUCUCUGUAUGAAUGUACCUUACGAAUAAGAAUCGGCUAACUCCGUGCCAGCAGCCGCGGUAAUACGGAGGGUUCGAGCGUUACCCGGAUUUAUUGGGUUUAAAGGGUGCGUAGGCGGUGUGUUAAGUUAGAGGGUAAAGCCCGGGGCUCAACUUCGGUAUGGCCGGUGAUACUGUAAGUCUAGAGUGUAAGAGAGGUAGGCAGAAUGUGUGGUGUAGCGGUGAAAUGCUUAGAGAUCAGGCAGAACACCGAUUGCGAAGGCAGCAUACCG
rnacentral:rRNA from 1 species